rnacentral:rRNA from 1 species
GGCUUACACAUGCAAGUCGAGCGGAGANGAGGUGCUUGCACUUUAUCUUAGCGGCGGACGGGUGAGUAAUGCUUAGGAAUCUGCCUAUUAGUGGGGGACAACAUUCCGAAAGGAAUGCUAAUACCGCAUACGUCCUACGGGAGAAAGCAGGGGAUCUUCGGACCUUGCGCUAAUAGAUGAGCCUAAGUCGGAUUAGCUAGUUGGUGGGGUAAAGGCCUACCAAGGCGACGAUCUGUAGCGGGUCUGAGAGGAUGAUCCGCCACACUGGGACUGAGACACGGCCCAGACUCCUACGGGAGGCAGCAGUGGGGAAUAUUGGACAAUGGGGGGAACCCUGAUCCAGCCAUGCCGCGUGUGUGAAGAAGGCCUUAUGGUUGUAAAGCACUUUAAGCGAGGAGGAGGCUACUGAGACUAAUACUCUUGGAUAGUGGACGUUACUCGCAGAAUAAGCACCGGCUAACUCUGUGCCAGCAGCCGCGGUAAUACAGAGGGUGCGAGCGUUAAUCGGAUUUACUGGGCGUAAAGCGUGCGUAGGCGGCUUUUUAAGUCGGAUGUGAAAUCCCCGAGCUUAACUUGGGAAUUGCAUUCGAUACUGGGAAGCUAGAGUAUGGGAGAGGAUGGUAGAAUUCCAGGUGUAGCGGUGAAAUGCGUAGAGAUCUGGAGGAAUACCGAUGGCGAAGGCAGCCAUCUGGCCUAAUACUGACGCUGAGGUACGAAAGCAUGGGGAGCAAACAGGAUUAGAUAUCCUGGUAGUC